rnacentral:rRNA from 1 species
GUAGGUGGCAAGCGUUGUCCGGAAUUAUUGGGCGUAAAGCGCGCGCAGGCGGUCCUUUAAGUCUGAUGUGAAAGCCCACGGCUCAACCGUGGAGGGUCAUUGGAAACCGGGGGACUUGAGUACAGAAGAGGAAAGCGGAAUUCCAAGUGUAGCGGUGAAAUGCGUAGAGAUUUGGAGGAACACCAGUGGCGAAGGCGGCUUUCUGGUCUGUAACUGACGCUGAGGCGCGAAAGCGUGGGGAGCAAACAGGAUUAGAUACCCUGGUAGUCCACGCCGUAAACGAUGAGUGCUAAGUGUUAGGGGGUUUCCGCCCCCUUAGUGCUGCAGCUAACGCAUUAAGCACUCCGCCUGGGGAGUACGGCCGCAAGGCUG